GGUGUUCGUAAAGUGUGUAAGCGAGACAGCUACAUCUGUUCAUUGGAAGUUCCAACAAUUUUUUUAACAACAGAAAUAUUAUACAAGUUAAAAAAAAAGAAUUGGCUAAAUAGAACACAUGAAAAAUAGAAGGAAAUCGGCGAAGCUGCUUUUUUUUAUUUUUAAAUUGGGCAGUAUAUCUGUGCUUUAUAUUUUGACGGCCACAGGUUGCUCACGUUCCAUAUCCCAUUUCUCGUCCCUUGUUAUCGAUACUCUGUGUCGCCAUUUUUCUUCUUUGGUCCGUGUCGGUGUGUAUGUCCGCGCUAGCAAGGAAAAGGUAACCAGCAGAUUGCCGUUGGACAGAAAUGGUCAUGAACGAGACGGAUCGUGCCGCUAUCGCUAUGAAAUCCAAACGGAAUAUUUAGUGCCACAAACACACGAUUAUGUACAUACAAAUCAGCUUAGGAGUCGCGCAAGUGCGUAGUGCUCAUUAUACCGCACUCCCCCUGCUUGCUUAUUGUACAAGGAAUUUUCUACAGUCAAAUAAUCGUGUAUCAGCUGUUUUUGCAAGCAACGCGACAAUGUAAAUGGUGAAAUAAACUUAAACUACCACGGGGCAGGCAUGGUGGAACGAGAAAAAAAAAUAAUCAAAACUCACCUGUUUAAGUGGCAUAUCAUCACACGGCAAUAACACCCGUCGUAUAUUUAAUUGGAUUUCUGUUCUUUUUUUAUGGAUAUCACAACUACUAGCCACUGAUUUAGAUGCACAUGCACACACGUAAACACCCAAAUUUACAUUUGCAUGUUUGUGCAUAUACAUACGUAUGUAUAAAAAUUACAAUUUUACUAUUUGAUUGAAUUGCAUGUGCCCACUGUCUGCUACAAUAGUGAAUUUAUCAGACAUGACGGCUGCUACCGUCUCUAAAGUUUGUCCGGCGAACAUUCAUAUGUACAUACAUGCGUUUUAUAUUUUGUAAUUUCACUUUUUAAUUUACUUCUACACCUUUUAUUAUUUUGUGUUAACGGCAACGUGUGGCACGAGUACGGGUCUGGUUACUGGACGAACGCGGAAACAGGGUACUGGUGCUCCACUGUUUUUAUUUGUUUCCAAAUAUUUUUGAAGCUGUAAAAUGCAUGAAAUCACACACCUUCCUUUAUUUGUAAAACUGAUAAUACACUUCUCAUUGUUUUUGAUAAAAAUUUUCUGUGGCACACUUAAACAUUUAAUGCAAAAUAAACUAUGUACAUAUGUAUAUUGCUUUCAACGAACGCUUUAUAUUUUCCUGGUCACAAAUCGCGUCCCGACCAAAAAUUUCAAGCGUAAAUUAGAGCGAUUUAAAACACGUACACUGUUUAUAGCCUUACAUAGAGAUAACUAAAUGUUUCACUUUGCCUUUUAGCUUACUGCUAUUUCUGAAAAACUGUGUUUUCGUUGUUUAUUUUGUUUAAAUAUCUUCGUAAUUAUUGAAAUUUCACGAACAAUAACAACCGCCAUUUGCAUUCGCCUUCAGUGGUAGCCAUUUUUAAUUUCCAGUCAGUGUUGUCUUACAUCUUUUCAAAAAAUGUACUAAAUAAUUCCAA